UACAAGCGAAAUUCGAUCUUAACAAUGACCUUUAAGAUUAAUUUUCUGUUAAACAUUAUUUAAUUUUGUUACGUUAUUGACACUUCACAUAUAAGAAAAUAAACUCAACGAAAUAAAAUCAGAUUAUUAUGAAUGCAGUGGAACAAAUUUAAAUAUACAUUAAUAACUCAAAAAUGGUUGGAUGUUGAUGUAACUGGAUCUAACGAGAAGCAACAACUCUUAAACAAAAGCGUUCUGAGAUUUGUUUUUUUAGCUUUCGCGGUUACAUCAUUAUGAACACAUUAUUAUUUUACGAUUUAGAUCCACACGUAAUCGUGAAGUUAUUAAAAUAAAAUAAAAAACGUUGUAAGAACUCCGUUGUCUAUUAAUGUUCAUUCAUAUUUCCAGAACGUUCUAUUGAUAAGCCUAAAGCCAGUCAAAGAGUAUCUUAAGAAUAUACAACAAAGAAUUUGUUCGACAAAUAAAUGAUAGAAUACGAAGGAAGGAAAAUUUUGUGUUUUUGUCUGUUUACACAUAUAUUAAAGUGAGAUUUGUGUAAUAUUAGAUACUAGAUUGUAGAUCACGAAAUUUUUCUCGUAUAUUUUGAUACCAAUCAUAUCGUAUGAUGUAAUGUGUGAAUAAUGCAUUGCUUUUUUUCCCUACCUAAGCUGAUAGCCUUGAGAGGCUAUCAGCUUAGGUAGAGAUUCUCCUUGACGUGUAGGUGAGCCGACGGGGCUCAAACCGGGUGUGUUGCUAACACUGACCCUAACAAGAGCAGUGCUUCGCAGAAUCUACCAUCGGAUCGGAAACGCGACCCACUGAGAAGAUCCGGGAAGACUUUGGAGAAGGAUGCCUUUCCAGUUUCACCAGGAUAUGUAUGUGGGUGAGCACGGCCUCAGCCGGGAGGUAUGGGAUUUGCUAACAGCUGUCCGAGCGCUUCCAAAGGAAACCUAACAACUCAAGGGCACCCGUUGAAGAUGUUUGAUCCUUCUUUGAUCCUAUUGCUGACACACCUAUCGCUUAUCUACCUUUUUUUUUUAUUCCUUAUAUAGGUGGACGAGCUCACAGCCCACCUGGUGUUAAGUGGUUACUGGAGCCCAUAGACAUCUACGACGUAAAUGCACCACCCACCUUGAGAUAGAAGUUCUAAGGUCUCAAGUAUAGUUACAACGGCUGCCCCGCCCUUCAAACCGAAACGCAUUACUGCUUCACGGCAGAAAUAGGCAGGGUGGUGGUACCUACCCGUGCGGACUCACAAGUGGUCCUUCCAACAGAAGAAAAUUCGCUUAAUAAUGAAAAUAAUUUAACAUAAAUCAAUAGAUACAGUAGAACAAAUCUUCCACUGCGCUUGUAGGAGACAGCUCCCAAGAUACUGGCUGCGUUACCUCUUUGGGUAGCCAGACUCUCUGUGCAAAGUACCAGCUAGCCUUAGAUCACGUGUAGCUUCCUUCAAGCGUAUGGAUAUUUUUGAAAAAAAUAUAUCUUUGUAAUUAAAUA